rnacentral:rRNA from 1 species
GACGAACGCUGGCGGCGUGCCUAAUACAUGCAAGUAGGACGCAGUUGGAACGGGUGAGUAACGCGUAGGUAACCUCCUAUUAGAGGGGAUAACUAUUGGAAACGAUAGCUAAACCGAUACUAGUAGAUGGACCUGCGUUGUAUUAGCUAGUUGGUGGGGUAAAGGCCUACCAAGGCGACGAUCCGUAACUGGUCUGAGAGGAUGAUCAGUCACACUGGAACUGAGACACGGUCCAGACUCCUACGGGAGGCAGCAGUAGGGAAUCUUCGGCAAUGGACGAAAGUCUGACCGAGCAACGCCGCGUGAGUGAAGAAGGUUUUCGGAUCGUAAAACUCUGUUGUUAGAGAAGCGGUAUCUAACCAGAAAGCCACGGCUAACUACGUGCCAGCAGCCGCGGUAAUAC